AUAUUUGUGGACUACAUAACUAGACUUUUUGUGUGGACGAGUUAACUGGCAUUCAUUUUGAAUGAUUACAGUUGUUUUCGGUAAAUUUAAACUGUGGUACACUAUAUUGGUACUUGAAAAAAGGUGAAUUUAUUUCGUCUUUAUUUUUUUUUUCAGAGGUUGUAAAUUAAUAAUCCACCAGUGCGGUAUGUGAAAAAUGUGUCUAGACAAGAUGAUGGUGAGCUUGUGACCCGGAUGGAUGAAUGAUGGAAAGACAAAUAAUAAGUGCUGUAUACAGUAUUUGGUAUAAAUCAGUCAUUGAAAGUCAUUACAGCUGAAGAUUUUAAUGACGCUUUGUACCGGUACUAACAAUGUUGAUUACAGUCAAUGGAAGGUUAAUCAAACCUAUGAAUGUGGUCGAAUAAGGUGUGGAGUUGAUUAAUAGCAACAUUGAAUGUGGGUUGAAUAUGGUGUGUUAAAGAUGCAAGAAAACACACGAAAUGUGUAAACUGUAAUGGAUUAUAGCCUGGCGCUAUCCAAAUUACAAAACACCUGCCCUUGAAUUUGGUGUGAAGCAUUGGAUUCAUGAGAUCACAAACCCCAACGAUAUGCAGCGAUUCGAAGAUAACCUUUUCAAAAAAGCUUGUGAAUGUGAUGAGGCUACAAUGUUUUAAUUUGCCGUGUAGCAUUGGGACCAUGAGAGGACAAAUCCAAUAAAUUUCAGCAAUCCACACUUAACCCACUUUUUUGGAAAUCAUGUGAACGUGAUAAGGCUAGAAUUUUUUUAACAGAUUUUUUUCUAAUUCUAUAUGAAACAUUGGGACAAUGGGUGAUUAGCCUUAUUUAUAUUCCUUAUUCUCUUUUGCAAUAUGUGGGUGUAUCUUAGAUGGCAACCACUUGUUAAUUGUAUCAAUUGUGUUGUAAUAUUUUGAA